AGGCAGCAGUGGGGGAUAUUGGCACAAUGGGGGAAACCCUGAUGCAGCGACGCCGCGUGGGUGAAGAAGCGCCUCGGCGCGUAAAGCCCUGUCAGCAGGGAAGAAAAUGACGGUACCUGAAGAAGAAGCCCCGGCUAACUACGUGCC
rnacentral:rRNA from 1 species